rnacentral:rRNA from 1 species
AUUGAACGCUGGCGGCAGGCCUAACACAUGCAAGUCGAACGGUAACAGGAAGCAGCUUGCUGCUUUGCUGACGAGGGGCGGACGGGUGAGCAAUGUCUGCGAAACUGCCUGAUGGAGGGGGAUAACUACUGGAAACGGUAGCUAAUACCGCAUAACGUCGCAAGACCAAAGAGGGGGACCUUCGGGCCUCUUGCCAUCGGAUGUGCCCAGAUGGGGUUAGUUAGUAGGUGGGGUAACGGCUCACCUAGGCGACGAUCCCUAGCUGGUCUGAGAGGAUGACCAGCCACACUGGAACUGAGACACGGUCCAGACUCCUACGGGAGGCAGCAGUGGGGAAUAUUGCACAAUGGGCGCAAGCCUGAUGCAGCCAUGCCGCGUGUAUGAAGAAGGCCUUCGGGUUGUAAAGUACUUUCAGCGGGGAGGAAGGGAGUAAAGUUAAUACCUUUGCUCAUUGACGUUACCCGCAGAAGAAGCACCGGCUAACUCCGUG